GGCGUGCCUAAUACAUGCAAGCCGAGCUUACGAGUCAAAAGCUUGCUUUUGAAUCGUUAGCGGCGGACGGGUGAGUAACACGUGGGCAACCUGCCCUGUAGACGGUGAUAACACCGAGAAAUCGGUGCUAAUACCGGAUAACACGAGAGACCGCAUGGUUUUUCGUUGAAAGGCGGCGCAAGCUGUCGCUACAGGAUGGGCCCGCGGCGCAUUAGCUAGUUGGUGAGGUAACGGCUCACCAAGGCGACGAUGCGUAGCCGACCUGAGAGGGUGAUCGACCACACUGGGACUGAGACACGGCCCAGACUCCUACGGGAGGCAGCAGUAGGGAAUCUUCCGCAAUGGACGAAAGUCUGACGGAGCAACGCCGCGUGAGCGAAGAAGGCCUUCGGGUCGUAAAGCUCUGUUGUUAGGGAAGAACAAGUACCGCAGUCACUGGCGGUACCUUGACGGUACCUAACGAGAAAGCCACGGCUAACUACGUGCCAGCAGCCGCGGUAAUACGUAGGUGGCAAGCGUUGUCCGGAAUUAUUGGGCGUAAAGCGCGCGCAGGCGGUUCCUUAAGUCUGAUGUGAAAGCCCACGGCUCAACCGUGGAGGGUCAUUGGAAACUGGGGGACUUGAGUGCAGAAGAGGAGAGCGGAAUUCCACGUGUAGCGGUGAAAUGCGUAGAGAUGUGGAGGAACACCAGUGGCGAAGGCGGCUCUCUGGUCUGUAACUGACGCUGAGGCGCGAAAGCGUGGGGAGCAAACAGGAUUAGAUACCCUGGUAGUCCACGCCGUAAACGAUG
rnacentral:rRNA from 1 species